CCCUUGUGCCAGCAGCCGCGGUAAUACGUAGGCUGCAAGCGUUGUCCGGAUUUAUUGGGCGUAAAGCGAGCGCAGGCGGUUUCUUAAGUCUGAUGUGAAAGCCCCCGGCUCAACCGGGGAGGGUCAUUGGAAACUGGGAGACUUGAGUGCAGAAGAGGAGAGUGGAAUUCCAUGUGUAGCGGUGAAAUGCGUAGAUAUAUGGAGGAACACCAGUGGCGAAGGCGGCUCUCUGGUCUGUAACUGACGCUGAGGCUCGAAAGCGUGGGGAGCGAACAGGAUUAGAUACCCUGGUAGUCCACGCCGUAAACGAUGAGUGCUAAGUGUUGGAGGGUUUCCGCCCUUCAGUGCUGCAGCAAACGCAUUAAGCACUCCGCCUGGGGAGUACGACCGCAAGGUUGAAACUCAAAGGAAUUGACGGGGGCCCGCACAAGCGGUGGAGCAUGUGGUUUAAUUCGAAGCAACGCGAAGAACCUUACCAGGUCUUGACAUCCUUUGACCACUCUAGAGAUAGAGCUUCCCCUUCGGGGGCAAAGUGACAGGUGGUGCAUGGUUGUCGUCAGCUCGUGUCGUGAGAUGUUGGGUUAAGUCCCGCAACGAGCGCAACCCUUAUUGUUAGUUGCCAUCAUUUAGUUGGGCACUCUAGCGAGACUGCCGGUGACAAA
rnacentral:rRNA from 1 species